rnacentral:tRNA from 1 species
UAGCUCAGCUGGUAGAGCAACUGACUUGUAAUCAGUAGGUCCCGGGUUCGACUCCUG